UGGGGAAUAUUGCACAAUGGGGGAAACCCUGAUGCAGCGACGCCGCGUGGAGGAAGAAGGCCUUCGGGUUGUAAACUCCUGUCGUAAGGGACGAUAGUGACGGUACCUUACAAGAAAGCCACGGCUAACUACGUGCCAGCAGCCGCGGUAAAACGUAGGUGGCAAGCGUUGUCCGGAAUUACUGGGUGUAAAGGGAGCGCAGGCGGGUCUGCAAGUUGGAAGUGAAACCCAUGGGCUCAACCCAUGAACUGCUUUCAAAACUGCGGAUCUUGAGUGGUGUAGAGGUAGGCGGAAUUCCCGGUGUAGCGGUGGAAUGCGUAGAUAUCGGGAGGAACACCAGUGGCGAAGGCGGCCUACUGGGCACUAACUGACGCUGAGGCUCGAAAGCAUGAGUAGCAAACAGGAUUAGAUACCCCAGU
rnacentral:rRNA from 1 species